rnacentral:rRNA from 1 species
AUUGAACGCUGGCGGCAGGCCUAACACAUGCAAGUCGAGCGGAUGAAGGGAGCUUGCUCCUGGAUUCAGCGGCGGACGGGUGAGUAAUGCCUAGGAAUCUGCCUGGUAGUGGGGGAUAACGUCCGGAAACGGGCGCUAAUACCGCAUACGUCCUGAGGGAGAAAGUGGGGGAUCUUCGGACCUCACGCUAUCAGAUGAGCCUAGUUCGGAUUAGCUAGUUGGUGGGGUAAAGGCCUACCAAGGCGACGAUCCGUAACUGGUCUGAGAGGAUGAUCAGUCACACUGGAACUGAGACACGGUCCAGACUCCUACGGGAGGCAGCAGUGGGGAAUAUUGGACAAAGGGCGAAAGCCUGAUCCAGCCAUGCCGCGUGUGUGAAGAAGGUCUUCGGAUUGUAAAGCACUUUAAGUUGGGAGGAAGGGCAGUAAGUUAAUACCUUGCUGUUUUGACGUUACCAACAGAAUAAGCACCGGCUAACUUCGUG